UUAGGACGCAUCCCUGUCACGGAUGAGAUCACGAGUUCGAGUCUCGUAUGGACCG
rfam:Lactobacillus equigenerosi DSM 18793 = JCM 14505 strain DSM 18793 NODE_165, whole genome shotgun sequence.